rnacentral:rRNA from 3 species
UGGGGAAUAUUGCACAAUGGGGGAAACCCUGAUGCAGCAACGCCGCGUGAGUGAUGACGGCCUUCGGGUUGUAAAGCUCUGUCUUCAGGGACGAUAAUGACGGUACCUGAGGAGGAAGCCACGGCUAACUACGUGCCAGCAGCCGCGGUAAUACGUAGGUGGCGAGCGUUGUCCGGAUUUACUGGGCGUAAAGGGAGCGUAGGCGGACUUUUAAGUGAGAUGUGAAAUACCCGGGCUCAACUUGGGUGCUGCAUUUCAAACUGGAAGUCUAGAGUGCAGGAGAGGAGAAUGGAAUUCCUAGUGUAGCGGUGAAAUGCGUAGAGAUUAGGAAGAACACCAGUGGCGAAGGCGAUUCUCUGGACUGUAACUGACGCUGAGGCUCGAAAGCGUGGGGAGCAAACAGG